rnacentral:rRNA from 1 species
GAUGAACGCUGGCGGCGUGCUUAACACAUGCAAGUCGAACGGAACUCCUAUGAUUGAGGUUUCGGCCAAAAGAAUAGGAUGUUUAGUGGCGGACGGGUGAGUAACGCGUGAGUAACCUGCCUUGGAGUGGGGAAUAACACAGUGAAAACUGUGCUAAUACCGCAUAAUGCAUUUGGGUCGCAUGAUCCUGAAUGCCAAAGAUUUAUCGCUCUGAGAUGGACUCGCGUCUGAUUAGCUAGUUGGCGGGGUAACGGCCCACCAAGGCGACGAUCAGUAGCCGGACUGAGAGGUUGGCCGGCCACAUGGGGACUGAGACACGGCCCAGACUCCUACGGGAGGCAGCAGUGGGGAAUAUUGGGCAAUGGGCGCAAGCCUGACCCAGCAACGCCGCGUGAGGGAAGAAGGCUUUCGGGUUGUAAACUUCUUUUGUCAGGGACGAAGCAAGUGACGGUACCUGACGAAUAAGCCACGGCUAACUACGUGCCAGCCGCCGCAGUAA